UGAUGGCUCUUGAAAGACUGACUCACUGUGAGCAUUACACUGGCCAGCUUAGCUGAGAGGCCAGAUUUCAAUGAUCAUUCACUGCAGCUUCCAACUUCCUCUCACACUGCGGAAGAGGGGAGUGAAACACCAGGCAAGAGAUCCAGAGGAGAUGUCAGAUUUCUGGCUGAUCUUGAAUGCAGAUUGAAAGUUCUGAAUCAGGAAAUCCAGCACAGUACAUCUUGAAGGACAAAGUGGGAAGGCACUGUCUCCUUGGCACAUGCUGUUUGACUUUGCU